GAACACAAAAUGGCGACACGUGGUUAGCAUUCGUCGCCAACGAGAAAUUGGGGUCGGCCCGAAAGCUCUAGAAUGCACCCCUAUUCCUCCCCGGGGCCAUUCCCGCUCAACGAGUUUUAUGACCUAAAAAACCCCACAGGCUGGUCUGAAGAGGAAGACACUUAAAGAUGAAGUGCUUAAUUCAAGGUCACAGAAUGUCGGGGAUGGACCUCCAGAUUUCCUUACUGGAAAACAAGCUCAGGGCUCCCACUGAUUGUACAUUAUGGUGAGACGUGGUCUUGUAACACAGUGGUUAAGAAUGUGACUUUGGAGCCAGCCUGCUAGGGGCUGAAUUCUGACUCAGCCAUUUAUUAACUGUGUGACCUUAGGUCAUAGAAUUUUCCACACUCCUUGACGGAGGUUCUUAACCCUUAUCCAUCAGCAUUCUCAGACAGCACCUCCGGUUAGGGACAGUAUCUGACCGUCCGACAUCCCUGCAGCCCCCAUGCUGUCACACAGACUCAGCCUCAGGUAGAUGGUUUCCGUAGAUGGUGGCUUUCUUUGGACCCUUGAUAUCAACCAGUU
rnacentral:antisense_RNA from 1 species